UUUGAUCCUAUCUCUGUUGAAAAUCUCAUAGUAGUUCUCUCCUUUUCUUUUCCUUCUUCACCAUUUGGGCAAACGUGCGAUUGUGUCAUUCGGUAAGUUGGUAAAUGAGUUCUUCUCUAUAUUAUUCAAUGAAUCUCUGUUUGAUAUGAGCCAUAUUCUGAUUAGGCACAAAUCAAGGGGCUAGUAGAUCUCAAUUGACGCUGUGGUUGUAGAAAAAAUCGGGGUUGCUUAAGUGAGGUAAGGUUG
rnacentral:lncRNA from 1 species